GGUUUCCACCUCCCUCCUCCAAGCCCUCCCUGUUCACCCGGCGACCUCAGCUCAAGACCCCGCUUUCAUGAAGCCCUCUCUGCAAACUCAGCCAAUGGCUGUGCCACCUCGAGCAAACAUCUCGACUUCUCUGAACCUUACUUUCUGUACAAUGAGGAGACAAUCGACCUGCCUAACUUGCUGGGGGUCUUAGGAGAGGCACAGAGACAGCACCUGGCUGCCAGUGGGCACUGAAUCCAGUGAUGGGUGAGCUCUGAGUUCACACGAGGCUGGCUGCUUAAGAGUCUGGGACCUCCUCCUGCUCUCUCUUGCUCCCGCUCUCGCCAUGUGAUGUGCCUGCUCCCCCUUCACCUUCUGCCAUGGAUGGAAG